ACCUUUCCCCUCUCAUUUCCCUAUAGCGCCAGGGCUUAGUUUGCCUUGGACCGCAGACCCAAAAUUCAUUUUCUGCUCCUCUGAGGGACACUGGACAUGCCAACAUUAAAUUUAUCUACAAAAUAGUUAACUGGACAGUAACAGUUGGACAAUACUUCAUUGGGACCUUCUUUGGAACCAACCAAAAUGUCAUAAAAUUUCUCAAGUCUUCUACUCUUUGGCUCUCGCAGCCCAAGCUCUUGCCGACUCCAGCCUUGUGCUUUAAAGGAUCAGGAUGAAAUUGGCUGGAUAAGACAGAGAGGAAUCGGUAAUCUUGCAUUUGGGAGGGUCAAAUAUGCCACAUGUAGAAAGCUGAGAACGAAACCAUUUUCUGCUUGAGAAUCUACAUCAGUCUAAUGCAUUUUCGCCCUCUCCACAUUUCUUCGGUUCAAACGUUUUGGAGAAGACAGAAUAGACAGUGACGACGUUAAGGCUGCUGCUGUUUCCCUCUUUUUUCGGAACUACAAAAAAGAAACAACAGAUGGCUUCAGGGAUAGGCUUCUCCUUGUUGACAAACACCCUAAUUUGAAACAACAGCUUAUCUGCAAUGAUGAUCCACUCAACAGAGAAACAGAGAACACGAUCAAACCCUGCAACAAGCACAGAAGUCAACUCUGUCCCCGCGUCUACUCAGGCUAAAAGACUAGUGGGCCUAUAAUAAUACCUUUGCUUUACCAUCAGGUCCCAGGUCAUGUUAUGUACAAUUAUG